GGGGAAUAUUGCACAAUGGAGGAAACUCUGAUGCAGCGAUGCCGCGUGAGGGAAGAAGGUUUUAGGAUUGUAAACCUCUGUCUUCAGGGACGAAAAAAGGACGGUACCUGAGGAGGAAGCUCCGGCUAACUACGUGCCAGCAGCCGCGGUAAUACGUAGGGAGCGAGCGUUGUCCGGAAUUACUGGGUGUAAAGGGAGCGUAGGCGGGAUCGCAAGUCAGAUGUGAAAACUAUGGGCUUAACCCAUAAACUGCAUUUGAAACUGUGGUUCUUGAGUGAAGUAGAGGUAAGCGGAAUUCCUAGUGUAGCGGUGAAAUGCGUAGAUAUUAGGAGGAACAUCAGUGGCGAAGGCGGCUUACUGGGCUUUAACUGACGCUGAGGCUCGAAAGCGUGGGGAGCAAACAGGAUUAGAUACCCUGGUAGUCCACGCCGUAAACGAUGAUUACUAGGUGUGGGGGGACUGACCCCUUCCGUGCCGCAGCAAACGCAAUAAGUAAUCCACCUGGGGAGUACGACCGCAAGGUUGAAACUCAAAGGAAUUGACGGGGGCCCGCACAAGCAGUGGAGUAUGUGGAUUAAUUCGAAGCAACGCAAAGAACCUUACCAGGUCUUGACAUCGUAUGCAUAGCUCAGAGAUGAGUGAAAUCUCUUCGGAGACAUAUAGACAGGUGGUGCAUGGUUGUCGUCAGCUCGUGUCGUGAGAUGUUGGGUUAAGUCCCGCAACGAGCGCAACCCUUACUGUUAGUUGCUACGCAAGAGCACUCUAGCAGGACUGCCGUUGACAAAACGGAGGAAGGUGGGGAUGACGUCAAAUCAUCAUGCCCCUUAUGACCUGGGCCUCACACGUACUACAAUGGCUGUAAACAGAGGGAAGCAAAGCCGCGAGGUAGAGCGAACCCCUAAAAGCAGUCUUAGUUCGGAUUGUAGGCUGCAACCCGCCUACAUGAAGUCGGAAUUGCUAGUAAUCGCAGAUCAGCAUGCUGCGGUGAAUACGUUCCCG
rnacentral:rRNA from 1 species